GAUGCUUUCUUUAUGUGCCGGGGUCGACCCAAUCAACCUUGGGGUCGACUCAAUCCACACUUUGCUGCAACUCAAGGUUAGAUUCAUCCAUAUAAACAAUGAAAUGCAUCUUUAUCUUAUUAUACGAAUAUACUGAGAGUAACAGACUUAUAAACGAAGUAUCGAAUUAACUUGUAACAUACUCUUGAUUAUUGCUUGUUAAUCAUCAAAAUAAUACUAUCAUCCUCAAUCUUCCCCUUUUUGAUGAUUACAAAAUAUAGAGUAUGAGCCUAUUGAUACUUAUCUUAAAAUCAGUUUUAAAAGGGCUCAAGUUGCUGAAUUUCAGCUUUUCAAAUAUGAGAGUGAAGUCUCCCCCUAUUUCAUCUAAAUGUUUCCAAUUUGAUUUUUUGAAUUGCUCCCCCUUUCGUUUAUAUUUCAUUAAAGAUGAAACUUCAAAAAUUUGAGAUAAAGCAUAAGUUUCAGAUUAUGUAUCGAGGUGUGAAAGGUAUAUGCCA
rnacentral:lncRNA from 1 species